rnacentral:misc_RNA from 1 species
GUUGGAGCCGGGCUUGCCCGCGAUGACUGACUGACAUUCAACACAUCUGUCGGCAGUUACAUCGCUAUCGCGGGCAAGCCCGGCUCCCAC